GACCGCGUUCCCUCGACGGCGACACCUUGGCUCAUCCUUAGUUUUCAAAGUAACCUAAAUGUUUCGCGGUCCGUCCGCCUCGGACAGAUUUUCCUACAGCAUCCAAGCAACUGAUUUCCCGCGAAGAAGUUUGGGUCGUAAAGGAGGGGCAUAUCAUCGCCAGCGCCGUGAUGACUCUUACAUUUGCCAAAACUCGAGAUGGCUGCAAGACAGACUUCUACACCCUGCUCUUGAAAGAGAAGAUCUCCAAAAGGGACUUCGAGUUGCCACUCAUAUUAAGAAAUGA